UAAUAAACUAUUUAAUUUAUGUAAGAGUAGGAUGUCCCUUAUAAAUUAUAAUGUGAUAAAACCAUUUGUUACAUGUUGAGGAAGGAAAUAUAGCUGAAAUUUGUAGGUUUGUUUAUGUUAUGAUUAUUUUUCUUUCCUUGUUUCUUGUUACAACGAAUGUUAAAGGUAUUUCAAAUAUUUACGGUUUUCAAAUUUCAUAUUCUUUUUUUUUUGGUCAGGUAGCCUAGUGGCUAGAAAUUCACUUUUAAAGUGAAUAAGUGGGGUGUCCGGGGUUCGAACCCCGGCCCCUGCAUAUAAUAAUGCAUUGUCCCUGCCAACUGAGCUAUGCUCACGGGGACAAAUUUCAUAUUCUUUACUUAGUACAAAUUAUUUUAUCUGAUUUUAGUUGCAUUAUGUUAUUCUCUUUUUCAUCAUUACAGCCCAAUCUCCUAGAUGUUCCGCGCCAUAUGCAAAUGUGUUCUACCAUCGGGCCUAAUAGAUUUUGUGAAUAUGAUUUUCCAUUUAGUGAAAGAUCGAUGAGAGUACACAUAAUUCUAGACUAUUUAUGAUUUAUUAUGUAUUGGUGCCUAAUAUUUCUUUUUUAUCUUUCUGAUUUCAUAAACCUUGAUGAUUGUCCAAUAUUGAAUAUAAUAAAUAAAAAGUAGCCUUUAGCACGAAAUUGCAAGUGGCAAAGUGGUUAAAGCCUAGUAAUUUAUUUCUCAGGUUGAUGGUCAUGUGUUCAAGUCCGACCCAUGCCAAUUUUCAAAACAUUUAAAAAAUAAUUGGAAGCAUGGUCAAAGGCUAACGUUGACUCGCCCGGUUUACAGAAACUAGUCGGUUCCCUUGUCGAGCGUGGUUUCUCUUCUUUCUUUGAAGGUUUUCCCAUGUUGCUUUGUAGUAUUUCUCCAUUCAUGAGUUUGUGUGAAAAUCUCAUGGGAAGAGUAUGAAUCAGCAAGCUCCAUGGGAGGUUGACAUUACACAAAGGGGAUUCACCAUUGACAACCAAAUCUCUCAAACUCAAGUUGAAUGAUUUCUUGCCAAGCCUAAAAAAAGGGAGGGACAUGCCUUCCUUGUUGCUAUCAAAUAUGAUUAGUAACCGUUGUAUUGUGCACACUACAAAAUCUUAGGCCAUGCCCUGCAAAAUGGUAAGAAAUUAAGCUCAAAGAAUUAUCAAAGCACUUAUAGGAUCAAGGUAGCUAAGAGACAUCAACCCAAUACUACUCAGACUGAUUUCACUGUUCCAGGGGGUAAGGUAGUGAAGCAAUCAUAGAUAAGUCAAAAGGUGGAUGCUCACAUCACUAGAGACACGCAGUGCUAGGACUCCUUUAUUUUGGUCAUUUAGGUUAUUGCUAGUUAAGUGUUUGAACUAUAGUUUUAUCUCUCA